rnacentral:rRNA from 1 species
UACGGAGGGUGCGAGCGUUGUCCGGAAUCACUGGGCGUAAAGGGCGCGUAGGCGGCGCGGGCAGUCAACGGUGAAAGCUCGGGGCUCAACUCCGAGUCGGCCGUCGAUACUCCCGUGCUCGAGCACUGUAGAGGCAGGUGGAAUUCCGGGUGUAGCGGUGGAAUGCGUAGAGAUCCGGAAGAACACCGGUGGCGAAGGCGGCCUGCUGGGCAGUAGCUGACGCUGAGACACGAAAGCGUGGGUAGCAAACAGG